rnacentral:rRNA from 1 species
GUCGAACGGACUUAUACUGAAACCUAGUGAUUUAUGAGUUAGUGGCGGACGGGUGAGUAACGCGUGGAUAACCUGCCGUAUACCGGGGGAUAACACUUAGAAAUAGGUGCUAAUACCGCAUAAGCGCACGGCUCCGCAUGGGGCAGUGUGAAAAACUCCGGUGGUAUACGAUGGAUCCGCGUCUGAUUAGCUAGUUGGCGGGGUAACGGCUCACCAAGGCAGCGAUCAGUAGCCGGCCUGAGAGGGUGGACGGCCACAUUGGGACUGAGACACGGCCCAAACUCCUACGGGAGGCAGCAGUGGGGAAUAUUGCACAAUGGGGGAAACCCUGAUGCAGCGACGCCGCGUGAGUGAAGAAGUAUCUCGGUACGUAAAGCUCUAUCAGCAGGGAAGAUAAUGACGGUACCUGACCAAGAAGCCCCGGCUAACUACGUGCCAGCAGCCGCGGUAAUACGUAGGGGGCAAGCGUUAUCCGGAUUUACUGGGUGUAAAGGGAGCGUAGACGGCAGCACAAGUCUGGAGUGAAAUCCCGGGGCUUAACCCCGGAACUGCUUUGGAAACUGUGCGGCUGGAGUGCAGGAGGGGUAAGCGGAAUUCCUAGUGUAGCGGUGAAAUGCGUAGAUAUUAGGAGGAACACCGGUGGCGAAGGCGGCUUACUGGACUGUAACUGACGUUGAGGCUCGAAAGCGUGGGGAGCAAACAGGAUUAGAUACCCUGGUAGUCCACGCCGUANACGAUGAUUACUAGGUGUCGGGGGACNAAGGUCCUCCGGUGCCGGCGCAAACGCAUUAAGUAAUCCACCUGGGGAGUACG